rnacentral:misc_RNA from 1 species
GAUGAAGAACGCAGCGAAAUGCGAUAAGUAAUGUGAAUUGCAGAAUUCAGUGAAUCAUCGAAUCUUUGAACGCACAUUGCGCCCCUUGGUAUUCCGAGGGGCAUGCCUGUUCGAGCGUCAUUAUAACCCCUCAAGCUCAGCUUGGUGUUGGGGCCUGCUGCACUGGCAGCCCUUAAAAUCAGCGGCGGCGCCAUCUGGCUCUAAGCGUAGUAAUUCUUCUCGCUAUGGAGUCCUGGUGGAUGCUUGCCAUCAACCCCCAAUUUUUCUAUGGUUGACCUCGGAUCAGGUAGGGAUACCCGCUGAACUUAAGCAUAUCAAUAAGCGGAGGA